ACACUCAUGCACAAUCCUGCAUGGACCUUGAACUAACUUUUAGAAAAGAAUCAAAUAAUCUAUUUUAUUUACAUAGAAAUACAUUUUAAGGUGGGCAACACAGCAAAAAUGAAGGGUCAUUGGACAGCAUUCUAUUGUAAUAUAGUAUUAUGUAACUACAAAAUCUCUCUUUUGGACAAAUUAUUAGUGCUGCUUGGAAGGGUGAGUGUACAGUACAGUCACACUGUUGCCUGUCAAACAUGAGUAAGUGGUGGGAUGUAACAAAGUACAAAACUUGUGUAUUUUACUUUUUUCUCAUGUAACUCUAUAAUACUAUAACACUUUUUUGGAAAUAAUAAAAGAUGAUAAUUUUUGUUGUAUCAGACAGGUUUAAGCAGUUCAUUAAGCAUCAAAUUACUAACAAAUUCUAACAAACUUUAACAGAUGUUCAUAACUUCAUAAAUUUGUUUGAAUGUUUCUCUUUUUAUCUGGUGCUAUAGCCAAUGUUGUCAAUGGAGUAAUACUGUUGCAAGACUUUCCCCCUCAUGGUCUUAGUGCCCUGGGAAAUGUGAUGCCCCUUAUGCCAACUGAGAAGCUCAAGAAUUCUCCCUCAAAUAAAAACUACUUGCUAAUAUC